rnacentral:misc_RNA from 1 species
GAAAUGCGAUAAGUAAUGUGAAUUGCAUAAUUCAGUGAAUCAUCGAAUCUUUGAACGCACCUUGCGCUCCUUGGUAUUCCUUGGAGCAUGCCUGUUUGAGUAUCAUGAAAUCUUCAAAGUAAAUCUUUUGUUAACUCAAUUGGUUUCUACUUUGGUAUUGGAGGUCUUUGCAGCUUCACACCUGCUCCUCUUUGUUCAUUAGCUGGAUCUCAGUGUUAUGCUUGGUUCCACUCGGCGUGAUAAGUUAUCUAUCGCUGAGGACACUGUAAAAGGUGGCCAAGGUAAAUGCAGAUGAACCGCUUCUAAUAGUCCAUUGACUUGGACAAUACUUUUAUGAUCUGAUCUCAAAUCAGGUAGGACUACCGCUGAACUUAAGC